CACACCCCAGGCUGACCCCAGCGCCAUCGUAGGGGUCAGCGACACAGAGUCCAUUUCUGGAAGGGACAAUGAGGAUGUUUUCUACACUGAGGCAGAGAUGGAGAGAAGGCGCAUGUCAAGCACAUCAUCCACCAUCUCCUGUACCUCUCAAUCUCACUGGUCCCCUACACCAGACUGGGUCCUCUCCUGGAAGUGUAAGCUCCCCCUACAGACCAUAAUGCGCCUGCUGCAGGUGCUGGUCCCGCAGGUUGAGAAGAUCUGUAU